rnacentral:rRNA from 2 species
AGUGAAGCGGCAACAGCUCAAAUUUGAAAUCUGGCCCUUGUGGUCCGAGUUGUAAUUUGUAGAGGAUGCUUUUGGUGAGGUACCUUCCGAGUUCCCUGGAACGGGACGCCAUAGAGGGUGAGAGCCCCGUCUGGUUGGAUACCGAUCCUCUGUAAAGCUCCUUCGACGAGUCGAGUAGUUUGGGAAUGCUGCUCUAAAUGGGAGGUAUAUGUCUUCUAAAGCUAAAUAUUGGCCAGAGACCGAUAGCGCACAAGUAGAGUGAUCGAAAGAUGAAAAGCACUUUGAAAAGAGGGUUAAAUAGUACGUGAAAUUGUUGAAAGGGAAGCGCUUGUGACCAGACUUGGGCUUGGUUAAUCAUCCAGGGUUCUCCCUGGUGCACUUGGCCAGCCCAGGCCAGCAUCAGUUUGUCGCGGGGGAUAAAGGCGUUGGGAAUGUGGCUCCCUCGGGAGUGUUAUAGCCCUUCGUGUAAUACCCUGCUUUAGACUGAGGUUCGCGCAUCUGCAAGGAUGCUGGCGUAAUGGUCAUCAGCGACCCGUCUUGAAACACGGACCAAGGAGUCGUCUUCGUAUGCGAGUGUUCGGGUGUCAAACCCCUACGCGUAAUGAAAGUGAACGCAGGUGAGAGCUUCGGCGCAUCAUCGACCGAUCCUGAUGUUCUCGGAUGGAUUUGAGUAAGAGCAUACGGGGCCGGACCCGAAAGAAGGUGAACUAUGCCUGUGUAGGGUGAAGCCAGAGGAAACUCUGGUGGAGGCUCGCAGCGGUUCUGACGUGCAAAUCGAUCGUCAAACAUGGGCAUGGGGGCGAAAGACUA